rnacentral:rRNA from 1 species
GGUUAAGCGACUAAGCGUACACGGUGGAUGCCCUGGCAGUCAGAGGCGAUGAAGGACGUGCUAAUCUGCGAUAAGCGUCGGUAAGGUGAUAUGAACCGUUAUAACCGGCGAUUUCCGAAUGGGGAAACCCAGUGUGAUUCGUCACACUAUCAUUAACUGAAUCCAUAGGUUAAUGAGGCGAACCGGGGGAACUGAAACAUCUAAGUACCCCGAGGAAAAGAAAUCAACCGAGAUUCCCCCAGUAGCGGCGAGCGAACGGGGAGCAGCCCAGAGCCUGAAUCAGUGUGUGUGUUAGUGGAAGCGUCUGGAAAGGCGCGCGAUACAGGGUGACAGCCCCGUACACAAAAAUGCACAUGCUGUGAGCUCGAUGAGUAGGGCGGGACACGUGGUAUCCUGUCUGAAUAUGGGGGGACCAUCCUCCAAGGCUAAAUACUCCUGACUGACCGAUAGUGAACCAGUACCGUGAGGGAAAGGCGAAAAGAACCCCGGCGAGGGGAGUGAAAAAGAACCUGAAACCGUGUACGUACAAGCAGUGGGAGCCUCUU